AUUGAACGCUGGCGGAAUGCUUUACACAUGCAAGUCGAACGGUAGAGGGGGCAACCCCUCGAGAGUGGCGAACGGGUGAGUAAUAUAUCGGAACGUGCCCAGUCGUGGGGGAUAACGUAGCGAAAGUUACGCUAAUACCGCAUACGAUCUACGGAUGAAAGCGGGGGACUCGCAAGAGCCUCGCGCGAUUGGAGCGGCCGAUAUCAGAUUAGGUAGUUGGUGGGGUAAAGGCUCACCAAGCCAACGAUCUGUAGCUGGUCUGAGAGGACGACCAGCCACACUGGAACUGAGACACGGUCCAGACUCCUACGGGAGGCAGCAGUGGGGAAUUUUGGACAAUGGACGCAAGUCUGAUCCAGCCAUUCCGCGUGCAGGAUGAAGGCCCUCGGGUUGUAAACUGCUUUUGUACGGAACGAAAAGGUCUCUAUUAAUACUAGGGCUCAUGACGGUACCGUAAGAAUAAGCACCGGCUAACUACGUG
rnacentral:rRNA from 1 species